UGUGUCGAUCUCUCCCUAUCUCGAUGGUCCCUUCGAUAUCGAGAUGUGGAGAGGCAACUGUAGUAGUCAAUUCAAGUUGAGGAAUCAAUUAUCGCUAGCCUGUAUAUUUUAGCUCAAUUCGUUCUGAACAGAAACACUUCUAGAAUAAGAAAAUCACAAAUUACGGAAUUGAUUUUAAUUAUUUAAAACUCUAAGUUGAGAAUUAGAUAAAACUUAAUGUAGUCAAAUCCAAGUUUUUCAUUUGACGUUGUGACAAUGUGGCAUUUUAAAUAUUCAUUUAAGAGCGGCAUUAAGUAAACAGGUGCAUUAUUUGCGACGUUGCACUAUAUUUAUACAAACUUAUAAAACACAUAGGGAUCCAGAGUCACUUAGGACAGCAUGCAAGAACGCGAGUAGGACAUCAAAAAAGUUAAAAAGACAACACCGGGACACAUAUGUAACUCUAAACGGCUAGACGGAAAACCGGCUUGUGAGUAGCAGUUCUUCCGUGACGCAGUGGCAGACGUUUCGAUGAACAGUAGACACAAUAUCGAGACAGAUAAGAGACACGUGAUACAACGAAAAUAAAAGUGAAGAAAAGCUUAAGCUAACUCUUCUACAAACUAUUUGCCAGUUAAUUUGGGGUUCGCGGCCAUCGUUCAUUUGAUUUUGGGGAUGCGAUUUGUUUGUUCAGCAGGCAUGCAAUUGUGAUUGAGGACAAAUCAAAACUCAUAACUAUCUAGAAAGGAAUGACCGUGGUACAACGACUGGACAACUUAUCGAUGGUGCUCUAUACGUAUUCACAAUAAGAAGUUAUCUCAGGUCUGACUUCUAUUCAUCAACGAUCCGUAGUUACUGGUAGAAAUCUGUGUGUUUGUGUCUGUGUUUGUUUGACGGGUGUGCUGUAGUCAAAUGUUUGAAGUUUGUGGAAUAAAAUAAAGAUUAUCAGAA